CCUACGGGUGGCAGCAGUGAGGAAUAUUGGGCAAUGGAGGCAACUCUGACCCAGCCAUGCCGCGUGAGUGAAGAAGGUUUUCGGAUUGUAAAGCUCUUUCGGAUGUGACGAUGAUGACGGUAGCAUCUAAAGAAGCCCCGGCUAACUUCGUGCCAGCAGCCGCGGUAAUACGAAGGGGGCAAGCGUUGUUCGGAAUUACUGGGCGUAAAGGGAGUGUAGGCGGUUUAGUAAGAUAGUGGUGAAAUCCCAGAGCUUAACUUUGGAAUUGCCAUUAUAACUAUUAGACUAGAAUUACAGAGAGGAUAGUGGAAUACCCAGUGUAGAGGUGAAAGUCGUAGAUAUUGGGUAGAACACCAGUGGCGAAGGCGACUAUCUGGCACAUAACUGACGCUGAGGAGCGAAAGCGUGGGUAGCAAACAGGAUUAGAUACCCGGGUAGUC
rnacentral:rRNA from 1 species